rnacentral:tRNA from 2 species
GCAUAGCUCAGUGGUAGAGUAGAUGACUGUUAAUCAUUUGGUCCCUGGUUCGAAUCCAGGU